rfam:Salmo salar isolate Sally breed double haploid chromosome ssa03, whole genome shotgun sequence.
CCUAAUUGCUCCUGUAAAUCACUCUGGAUAAGAGUGUCUGCUAAAUGACAAAAA